rnacentral:rRNA from 1 species
UACGAGAGGCCCAAACGUUAUUCGGAUUUACUGGGCUUAAAGAGCUCGUAGGCGGCUCGUCGCGUCGGCUGUGAAAACCCGCGGCUUAACUGUGGGCUUGCAGCUGAUACGGGCGGGCUAGAGUUCGGUAGGUGAGUGGAAUUCCUGGUGUAGCGGUGAAAUGCGUAGAUAUCAGGAGGAACACCGGUGGUGUAGACGGCUCACUGGACCGUAACUGACGCUGAGACACGAAAGCGUGGGUAGCAAACAGG